UCUCUUUUCUCUAUUUCAGUCAGAGGUACAUUUCUCAGACUUGUUUCUCCUUAUUCCUAAAAAGAGGGGGUGGGUUAGCUGUGGGUAAAUUUGAGAUUCUGCAUGAACCAGGCUAAUCUAAGUAUUUUAUUUCUACCCACAGAUUGAGAUGACUACUACUGAGUUAUGUCACCUAAGAAAGGAAAGUCAACUUUCAAAAAUACUUUAAGACCAGGUGGAAGGAGAUAUUGAAUGGUGUCUUAGUCAGUUUGGGCUGCUAUAACAAAGGACCAUAAACUGGGUCGCCUAUAAACAAUAUAAAUUUGUUUCUCACAGUUCUAGAGGCUGGGAAGUCCAAGAUCAAGGUGCCGGCAGAGUUGGUGUCUGGUAAAAGCCACAUCCUGGUUCGCAGACUCUGCAACUGAGGUUGCAGACAAUCUAAACUGUGACUACGGCAAACACUGUUUGUUGCUUCCCAGUGUUCAUUCCCCCACAUUUUCCUUUGCUAACAAAAUCCCAGUUGUAUUCAAGUAUUAGAUGACCAUGUGCCUCAGAAACACUGGGCUCUUCCUCCUUCCAGGGAUGAAUCCUGAUUAGGCUGAUCAUGGUAUUCUAUCAAUAUUUAGGUUUAUAAAGCAAUGCAGGAAGCAGGGCUGCUAGGGGACUUCUGGAAGAGUUUUCAUCAUCCUUACAAUGGAACAUGACGAAGGGUCAUGGCUUUUCCCCUCUUCCAAUCUCAGGACAUGAUGAACUACAGCAGCCACAUUGAGGACAUGACGGGAUGAGCCUGAGAACAAGCUGAAGAUGGCAGAGCAGAAAAGUGGACAGAACCUGGGUCCUUGGUUACAUCUUUGAGCCAUUGAAUUAAUCACCUCUGGAAUCCCCUUGCUUCUAGAAUUUUAAUGAGAGCCUGAAUUGAUAAAAGCACUGUAUAUUCAAAGUCUUCAACAUCUCUACAAAACUCAGAGUUAUCCCUGACCACGACUUCGCUGUUGGAAUCAAAGUGAUGAGUGUGAAGUCACGUGUGUGGAAAUGUCACCAAAGGCCUAGUCACAGAGGGCACAAAGACUUCCGGGAACGAAAAUACUUUUGAAGGCCGGCUACAGAGGAUCAGGUGGAGAACCCCAAGGACCCCAGAAGAUGCUGGAGCCACUAGAUGAGUAGAAC